rnacentral:lncRNA from 1 species
AUGUAUUGGAACUCACUGAGUCUCCUACAGCACGGAGACUUCUCCUACAGCAGGGAGACUACUCCUACAGCAGGGAGACUACUCCUACAGCAGGGAGACUACUCCUACAAUGGGGAGACUACUCCUACAGCAGGGAGACUACUCCUACAGCAGGGAGACUACUCCUACAAUAGGGAGACUACUCCUACAAUGGGGAGACUACUCCUACAAUGGGGAGACUACUCCUACAGCAGGGAGACUACUCCUACAGCAGGGAGACUACUCCUACAGCAGGGAGACUACUCCUACAAUGGGGAGACUACUCCUACAGCAGGGAGACUACUCCUACAGCAGGGAGACUACUCCUACAGCAGGGAGACUACUCCUACAGCAGGGAGACUACUCCUACAGCGGGGAGACUACUCCUACAGCGGGCAGACUACUCCUACACCAGGGAGACUACUCCUACAGCAGGGAGACUACUCCUACAGCACGGAGACUACUCCUACAGCGGGCAGACUACUCCUACAGCAGGGAGACUACUCCUACAGCGGGCAGACUACUCCUACAGCAGGGAGACUACUCCUACAGCGGGGAGACUUCUCCUACAGCAGGGAGACUACUCCUACAGCGGGGAGACUUCUCCUACAGCAGGGAGACUACUCCUACAAUGGGGAGACUACUCCUACAAUGGGGAGACUAGUCCUACAAUGGGGAGACUACUCCUACAGCACGGAGACUACUCCUACAGCAGGGAGACUACUCCUACAGCGGGCAGACUACUCCUACAGCAGGGAGACUACUCCUACAGCGGGGAGACUUCUCCUACAGCAGGGAGACUACUCCUACAAUGGGGAGACUACUCCUACAAUGGGGAGACUAGUCCUACAAUGGGGAGACUACUCCUACAGCGGGGAGACUACUCCUACAGCAGGGAGACUACUCCUACAGCGGGCAGACUACUCCUACAGCGGGGAGACAACUCCUACAGCGGGGAGACUACUCCUACGGCACGGAGACUACUCCUACGGCACAGAGACUACUCCUACAGACUACUCCUAUAGCACGGAGACUACUCCUACAGCUGGGAGACUACUCCUACAGUUGGGAGACGACUCCUACAGCAGGGAGACUACUCCUACAGCUGGGAGACUACUCCUACAUUGGGGAGUCUACUCCUACAGCAGGGAGACUACUCCUACAGCGGGGAGACUACUCCUACAGCGGGGAGACUACUCCUACAGCUGGGAGACUACUCCUACAGUGGGGAGACUACUCCUACAGCAGGGAGACUACUCCUACAGCAGGGAGACUACUCCUAGAGCGGGGAGACUACUCCUACAGCACGGAGACUACUCCUAA